rnacentral:rRNA from 1 species
UACAGAGGGUGCGAGCGUUAAUCGGAAUUACUGGGCGUAAAGCGCACGUAGGCGGCUUCGUAAGUCGGAUGUGAAAUCCCCGGGCUCAACCUGGGAACUGCAUUCGAGACUGCGAUGCUUGAGUAUGGGAGAGGACAGCGGAAUUCCGGGUGUAGCGGUGAAAUGCGUAGAUAUCCGGAGGAACAUCAGUGGCGAAGGCGGCUGUCUGGCCCAAUACUGACGCUCAGGUGCGAAAGCGUGGGGAGCAAACAGGAUUAGAUACCCUGGUAGUCCACGCCCUAAACGAUGAGGACUAGAUGUCGGAAGGGUCUGCCUUUCGGUGUCGCAGCUAACGCGUUAAGUCCUCCGCCUGGGGAGUACGGCCGCAAGGUUG